CCCUGAGAGGAUCAUGUUCCAAAUAGAGCUGCUUUUCUAGCUUUGGUCCCAGAAUGAAGAUGUGCAGAGCCACAGCUGACGCACAAGACAUGUAACGCCUCACUUCCCACAAGCUAUUCCUGGCCGAUGACUGAGCACAGCAGAGAAUUUUGGACAGACUUCUUCCUGGGAGGAGCUGAUGGAGGGAUAGACCUGUGGUUCUCAACAUUUCCUGUCUUACUGCCCCCCAAGUGCUCUGCAAUCAAAACAAGAAAACUGACUCUUAAUGACAUUUAUCCUGGCUGAUACCAGAGGAACUGUUACUGAAUC